rnacentral:tRNA from 1 species
UGUUCUGUGGCUUAGUUAGUUAUAGUGCCUGUCUAGCAAAUACGUAGUCGUGGGUUCGCAUCCCACAAGAACGC